rnacentral:lncRNA from 1 species
CUGCUCGGAUACAACCACAUUAGCAACUUUUGAUUCAAAGGUGAAAUAAUUCUUUGUCAUGAUUGUAUUUGAUACAUUUGAUGAAUUGAUGCUACACCAUGAUGUAUGCUUAUUGUCAUCUUUAGAAAUACAUGCAUGGAUAAAAAUAGUGUUAAACACACAUGGAAAGCAUAGAGGUCCAAAGAAGUUGAUUGGGAACCAAGUCCAAGAAUUCCCAACAUUCC